GUUUUCCCUAUUUUUAAGAAAAUUUCCAAUUAGAUUUCUGUUUUUUUUCCUGUUUUUCCACCAAUUUUAUGGUAGCGCAGUCCAGAUUCAAAGUAUGCGUCAAUCUUUGUUUUUCAACCAAAGCACUAUGGGUAAAAAGUCAGAUUUUUUGGCAUAAAUAAAAAAAAAAAAUUUUCAGUAUCCGCCCCAACUGUUUUCAUAUUCUCAUUUUGAAAACUCCAGCCGACUUAAAAACAAUUUUUAUAAAAUUUUGCGGACAGCCCAUAAAGUUUUAAGCUUCGUCAAGGUAGCUGAUUCAAGGUUACAUGGUAAAUUGAAGAAAGCGCGGGAAAUGAUGCUCUACUUUCAACGUGUGUAAAUCUUUGGGUGUUUGAAAUAGUAUUCAAUAUUUUUUAUGGAAAUUAUUUAGGAAUCUUUAUUAAAUAAGAUGAGUGAAAAAUUUGUUGUAGUUCUGUGACUUAUCGUCAAAUUGUGCAAAGCGUUGCUAUUGUGCAUUUGUAGAUAAAAACUAACAUUCAUAUGUGUGCUUCGUUAGAUAUAACUUUUGAUCCCUCAAAGAUGAGCUCUGCAAUUCCAUGCUGCUAGAAGUGCGGAGCAGCUACAAGCGACAACAAAGCGCUAUAAAAGAUUAUUUCGUUAAAAAAUAAGUAAAGAGAAAAUAUCGGACGAUAAAUAUAAAUCAAUUAACUAUAAAGUAAAAAAAAUUGUUGGAUUUAUCAAGUAUCAUUUAACAAAAUGCAACCGAUUGCUGAUUAGAGUCAAGUAUCAAGGUCAAUGCGUACGCAAGAUCACCUAAAAGAUCAGGUUAGAAGCAAUUAAAUUAUAACGAUGCUGGUCCACGAUUAAAAGAGAAAUCGGCUUCUGAGCUUGCCUUAGAGUAUGAUAACACGACGCCUCUCUGCAUUAGUUUCGCUUAAAAAAUUAACGGAAAAGGAUACAAUAUUAGUUUUGAAGUAAUAAAUCUAAUGACGGCAACGCAGCAAGAAGAGCUUUUGGAAAUGUUGAGUUGUUUUUUUACCAUUUUAAAUUUUGACCAAUAAAUCUUAUCAACCGUUUCUAUAAUAUUAA